rnacentral:tRNA from 2 species
AGUAACUUAGUUUAAUUAAUAACCUUAAAUUGCAAGUUUAAUAAUCUUCUAAAGAAAUCAUU